AGGGCACAGGCAGUCACUCUGGGGAAUGCGGCUUCCAAAACAUUGAGGAGUGAAGUGGUCCAAGGAGAAACAGGACCCGGGCCCAGAUGAUGAGGGUUGCAGCCUGCCCGGGGCCCGGAAAGCUAAGUCUAGCCCCACACCUUCCCAGCUCCAGGGCAGAAAGCCAGCUCAAACCACACAGGAAAUCAAUUUGCUUUCUGAACUAGAGGUGGGCGGCUCUCUGAUCUUACUCCCUCCUGCAGAAGUCCUGGAAGAAACAGGGCCUCGCAGCCCCUCCCCCUCCUCCUGCCCGCCAGCAGCGGAACAGAGCCUUCCAGGAACUGCGUGCCCAAACCACCAGGCUGAGGCUUAGCCCAGGGGUCCCCCUACCUGGGGGGAGCACGGGGGGCCAUCAUGAGU
rnacentral:lncRNA from 1 species